UGGGGAAUAUUGCACAAUGGGCGAAAGCCUGAUGCAGCGACGCCGCGUGCGGGAUGAAGGCCUUCGGGUUGUAAACCGCUUUUAAUUGGGAGCAAGCGAGAGUGAGUGUACCUUUUGAAUAAGCACCGGCUAACUACGUGCCAGCAGCCGCGGUAAUACGUAGGGUGCAAGCGUUAUCCGGAAUUAUUGGGCGUAAAGAGCUCGUAGGCGGUUUGUCACGCCUGGUGUGAAAGUCCAUCGCUUAACGGUGGAUCUGCGCCGGGUACGGGCAGGCUAGAGUGCAGUAGGGGAGAUUGGAAUUCCCGGUGUAACGGUGGAAUGUGUAGAUAUCGGGAAGAACACCAAUGGCGAAGGCAGAUCUCUGGGCUGUUACUGACGCUGAGGAGCGAAAGCAUGGGGAGCGAACAGGAUUAGAUACCCGUGGUAGUCCAUGCCGUAAACGGUGGAUGCUGGAUGUGGGAC
rnacentral:rRNA from 1 species